rnacentral:lncRNA from 1 species
AUUAAUCACUGUGGAAGAAGAGCAUUAAUCAAAAUGAUUAUCGUAGUACUUUUUAUAACUGUUCAGAUUUUGAUAUUUUAAAAUGGAAUUGGAAGACUGGGAUCCCAUGAAGGAAGAUUAUUACUCUUUAGCUGUCAAUUCCUAUGUUGGAGGUCGAGGAUUAGGCAUUCCCAUUGAUCGUUACCCAUCUUGUGAUAGAAAUAAAAAUAGUUGUCAGACUGUCAGUUUAUAUGUGACUGGAAUACCGUACGCUAUCGAUGAACGAGGUUUAAAACUAAUAUUUUCGAAUUAUGGAAGAGUGCGUCGUUCU